CACGACACGACAUCCCACCCUAGCAACCGCCAUGUCUCCACGGCAACAUCCUCCCCUGUCCUCUUCGGUGGCAUCAAUAGUAUUACAAGCAUAAUGGUCACUUGCACAGUAGCAUGUUUUCGAUUAGAUGACCAACUCAUACAAAGAUGGUUGGGGUACACACUGUAUUGAUAGGUGUGGAGGCAUCAUUCGGCUGUAGCCUAGUCUAUAGUGAGAUUAGCACGGGUGGGGUAGGCUACACAGUGACAGCGCACACACCCAUAGAUGUGGGUGGUUAUUAGGCGCAAAUUAGGAAGGAGCAGGACUCGAGAAAAUCUCGGUUGCAAUUCCAUUAGGACAAAUUAUUUCAUUGCUCUCGAGAAUAAACGGAGUAUACCACGCGCGAACCGAUUCUGGCCCCCGCUCCCUGGACAACCUCCUUCCCAGGCUCGCGCCAUACGUCCUCUUCGAAUACCUGCACAGCAGCCCGUUACCGUUCGUUCGGGAUGGAUCCCGCUGUUCUCAUCUUCCUGCUGUAUAUGAUGAUAGCUCAUGAGCUGGUCUGCGGCUGGUUGCAGUACCGGAGACAAGCUGCCAAGCCCCGCAAACGAGCCGGGCCGAUGUGGAGUAGCAGUGCCCGAGUUUGCCCUAGUAGCUGGCGGGUCAGUAGCCAGCCUUGCAGGACAGAUAGAGGACGAGACUGGAGGAGGGCUGCUGGGAAGAGUGGGCGGCGGAUUGUCAGAAAGGCCUGAGCUGGAGAGAGCAUCUGUUGAGCAGAACUUCAGACAAUUCCACAACCCCAGAGUGGAUUCUUGGACUGAAAGACCUCUUCUUGUCUUGAACUUGGAACUUUGACAGGUUUGAAGAGCUUGAUCUGCUGCAGCAUCUCUUUGCUGUGAUUGAGCAGCACAUUGUCCAUUGGGAUUUGGUAAACACAGCCACGGAGUCUAAACUCCGGAGAACAGUACAACAUGAGGAAAUGUCUGUGGAUGUGUGGAAACUUUGUCUAUUUAUUUGUUCAUCUAUAUUGUCAUAGUCCUAUUUUAUCAUGUUAUUUGGUGAUGUUUGUAUUCCAAAUCAGCUGUUAUCCUCCCUUCGGGAUCUGUAUUUUAGACCACACCUCCAAAAGAAUGCUAUAUAUUCCAUCAGAUCCAUCCAGGAAUUCUUAUCCCUGCCCAUACCAUAACCCCACCGCCACCAUGGGGCACUGUUCACAACAUUGACAUCAGCAAACUGCUAACCCAC
rnacentral:lncRNA from 1 species